rnacentral:rRNA from 1 species
CGGGGGGGCAAGCGUUGUUCGGAAUUACUGGGCGUAAAGGGCGCGUAGGCGGCCUGCUAAGUCGGACGUGAAAUCCCUCGGCUCAACCGGGGAACUGCGUCCGAUACUGGUGGGCUCGAAUCCGGGAGAGGGAUGUGGAAUUCCAGGUGUAGCGGUGAAAUGCGUAGAUAUCUGGAGGAACACCGGUGGCGAAGGCGGCAUCCUGGACCGGUAUUGACGCUGAUGCGCGAAAGCCAGGGGAGCAAACGGGAUUAGAUACCCCGGUAGUCCUGGCCCUAAACGAUGAGUGCUUGGUGUGGCGGGUAUCGAUCCCUGCCGUGCCGAAGCUAACGCAUUAAGCACUCCGCCUGGGGAGUACGGUCGCAAGGCUG